AUAUUUUAAGUUCUGACAGUGAUAAUGACGAACUGAUUGAUGGAAUUUCGGAAAUACAAAUUGGAAGUGAAUUCGACAAAGAAAAUGUAACAGAAGAAGUUGCAAGCAUUAUUGAAGAUACUAUAAGGAGCCAGCAGGGGGCGCUAGAGAGUACUGGACAAGCAUUGGAGCCAGGAUUAAGAGGGAGUGUAGCGGUACAGACUGAGCCAGAGCCCAGUCCUGCUCCCUCUUCAUCUCAGCCCGACGCUGCCCCUCGCCGCCCCACGUUUGUCUUCUCCUGGCUCAGCCGUCGGCACAAGAGCCAGUGAAGACAGAGAGACCCUGCUAGUC
ensembl:lncRNA